GAUUUCUGGUUUGAUGCGUUUGGCCCUCCCGGGUUUCCACUCGGCGUGCGUGCCGAUGCGCGUCUGCCAUCCUCGUUGAGAACGUUUCUACCCUUCACUGGGCCGGAUUCGCGAUCAGCGUCCUUUACUUUGAAAAAAUUAGAGUGUUUAAAGCAGGCUUGUGCUAUGAAUACAUUAGCAUGGAAUAAUAAUUUAGGACUUUAGUUCUAUUUUGUUGGUUUCUAGAGCUGAAGUAAUGAUUGAUAGGGAUAGUUGGGGGUGCUAGUAUUCAGUGGCCAGAGGUGAAAUUCUUGGAUUCACUGAAGACUAACUUAUGCGAAAGCAUU
rnacentral:rRNA from 1 species